UCCCAAAGAUCACUAAGCUUGAAAUAUUCAGUUUCAUCUUUGCUCUCUUGUAUCCAUAAACUAUUCAAAUCAUUAUCGCAGCUCUGGAAAUCAACAACAAAAAGAUCAAACUUCUAGUAGUAGCUUAUCUUCAAUCCUUCCAUGUGUUUAGUGAUAAUGCUAAUUAUUAUACCCCCCCCACUAGGAAGCAUUGUAUUUCAACAAAAGUGUUUAAUAAAAACCACAUGUUAUUUGUCACAAAUUUAAUGACAGUAAUUGCCGAAAGAGACAGUCAUCUAAUGAUAUAGCGAUGAACAAGACACAGAGUAUUUACCUACGCAUCUUGAAUAUUCAAACCAGUUUGAGUAUAAAAUAUUUUUUAAUCUUUUAUUAUUAUAUAGUAUCGCUUUCAAUACACGAUUUGCUGUCGCUAGUUCCCACGUGGAGAAAGAAAACUACACUAAGCUCCAUGAAUAUCUUUUUUUUUGUAUAAAUGAAAUAUUAUUUUUUAAAGACAAUAAUUCAAUUGUGUAAAAAGUAUAGUUGAAAACAUGAGAAUAUGCUUUAAGGGAUUCUCUUAAGGUUAGAGUGAAAAUGGAAACAGAACUUGUACCUGUGAUAGAGAGAAAGAAGGGGGCUUUGGAGUGAUUCCUCCAAUAAGCCUCUCCAGGUUUGAUCUUGCAUCCGACGAUGAUGACCACCACAUUGUCUCUCUCGGCCUCUCCGUUUUAGAUUAUGAUAUUGAGUUUUAGACUUUUUCAGAAUCUAAGAAGUUGAGAAAAUUUGUAAGUUCCCUCCACCCAACAACCAUAGAUUUUCUUGUUCCUUGAAAUUUUGAAAAAGCUAAAUACCAGGACGACCUAGAAAGAAGAAAAUAAAACAGAGACUAGUUACAGAAACAACUGCUUCAACAAACAACCAAACAAAAAGCUACCUAAGCAGCUUAGGAGAGGGUAUAGAAAGUAUAAUGGUGUCUAUACUCUCU